rnacentral:rRNA from 1 species
UACGUAGGCAGCAAGCGUUGUUCGGAGUUACUGGGCGUAAAGGGUGCGUAGGCGGUCCUAUAAGUAUGGUGUGAAAUCUCCCGGCUUAACUGGGAGGGUGCGCUAUAGACUGUGGGACUAGAGUGUGGGAGAGGAAAGUGGAAUUCCUGGUGUAGCGGUGAAAUGCGUAGAUAUCAGGAGGAACACCGGUGGUGUAAACGGCUUUCUGGACCAUAACUGACGCUGAGGCACGAAAGCGUGGGGAGCAAACAGG